GGAAAAAGAAGAAAGGAAUCCUUGAGCUUUGGAGCAGAGAACACUUCAGACCCUCUUUCAUGCUGCCUCUGAAUGCCCUUCCCUGCUGAUGGACAUCAGUGCUCUUUUCUGAAAAUACAAGUCCUGACUUUUGUCUUUGCUGGAUGACUGGAAAAUUAGUGGGGAUUGUGAUAUUACGGUUGGCUGAAACCUGAGCAAUGGAGAGGUGAAGAGCAUGUUCAGCAGCUGCUCCGCCAGAAGAUUCUAUUGCUACUGUUAUGAAAUAGUGGAACACACUGAUGUACGCAAUUAGAAAAGACCACUUGGUUGAAAUGGACCAUAAGUACAUUCUAGAGUUUGUGUGCAGGAAACAGGCUACAAGUACACACGAUCUCCGCUGGGAGCCUUUGUCACAGAGAUGAUGCACUGCAGUCUCACCAGGAGGUAAACUACGCAAGGUCAACCCUCGGUGGUGGUGGAAGUCAAGUGUGGACCUCACCUAGCUACCUUAUGAUAAAAAUUACAGGUCCCUGCCAGGAUUUGGCAGCAAGUACUUCCUGUGGGCACAUGCUGAAAGAACAGGCCUGGUUCCAAAGCAUCCUAACCAUAAAGAGAACGAAGGUGAUGGACAAGACAUGCUUUGUUCUUCUUCCGAACUAAAAGGGAACAGAUGAAAGUUGUCAUUAUCUCUGCUGGCUCCAUCGCAUCAAGAAAUACUCGAGUCACUCUCACUUAAGUUUGCUUAUUCAAAUUCUAACCAGAACUAUUCAAUUUCGCUUUCCUGACCGCACUGCAGAGAGCCCGAGGUGGCUGAGAUAAUCUUGAGAGCUUGAAAAACCUCCAGCUACAGCCUGAGGUGAGGCAGAUGUGCUUUGCUCCUUAUACCUCAUUCCUAUGUGUCUGUGCAUUUUUCCAGUUUUUGGGCCAAUACACCCAGGUCUUUCUGCUCCUAUGUUGCUUGCAACUGAUAAAUCCCCAGUUUAUAGCAAAAAAUUUUGUUGGU